GGUCUCGAGACGCAGUCAGGCUCAAGGGUCUAAACUGCGCAUCGGGACCAUCCUCGGGAAGAGCAUGUCUGUCAUUGAGUUGAUGGGCAUGGGACUCCCGUCUUUUACUGUGAGCAAAAUAGGGUGUUCAAAGCAGGCUUACGCCGUUGAAUACAUUAGCAUGGAAUAAUAAGAUAGGACCUUGGUCUAUUUUGUUGGUUAUACUCCAAGGUA
rnacentral:rRNA from 1 species